UGGGGAAUAUUGGACAAUGGGCGAAAGCCUGAUCCAGCAAUGCCGCGUGUGUGAAGAAGGUCUUCGGAUUGUAAAGCACUUUCGACGGGGACGAUGAUGACGGUACCCGUAGAAGAAGCCCCGGCUAACUUCGUGCAAG
rnacentral:rRNA from 1 species